rfam:Mustela putorius furo unplaced genomic scaffold scaffold00104, whole genome shotgun sequence.
GCCUGGGUGGCUCAGUUGGUUGAGCGACUGCUUUCGGCUCAGGUCAUGAUCCUGGAGUUGCGGGAUCGAGUCCCGCAUCAGGCU